CUUUUCAUGAGAACAAUGUCUGCUGCCUCGAUGGCAAUGUCUGUGCCUGCACCAAUCGCCAUUCCAACAUCUGCAGCAACAAGAGCUGGUUUGGCUUCAGCGAUGACAGUUUCAAUCCCAACCUCCUGAGCAAUGGAAUUUGCAGUUCCCCAGUUGUCACCUGUCACCAAGAUGCUCUUAACCUUCAUAGACUUGAGAAUGGAUAUCACAUCACGAGCACCUGGCUUCAGUGGAUCAGAUAUGGCUAGAACUCCAGUCAGCUCCCCAUCUAUCGAUAUCAGAAUCCCAGUUUGAGCCAUUGCUUCAAUUUCUUCCAGCAUAUCUUCAGCAUCAACUGGAAUGACAAUCUUCUGGUCUAACAUCAAGCUCUUGUUGCCCACUAUGAUCUCUUUGUUGCGAACAAUGGCUUUCACACCAUGGCCAGUAAUGGAGACGAAAUCCUUUGCUCCUGGCCAAGUGGGAUUCUCUUCAUCUUCUCUGAAUUUCUUAGUAUACUCCACAAUGGCCUUAGCCAGUGGGUGCUCACUGUUCACCUGGUACACAUUCAGAGCACCUAUGUUGUAAAUAUUCAAACUUUAUGGGCGAAUUUGUAAAAAGCAUGGUUCACAAGCUUAAUGCUUUAAUGAAACAUUUGAAAAUGAUUUUUGGUUUGGCAAAAAGUUUAACAAAA